rnacentral:rRNA from 2 species
GAUGAACGCUAGCGAGACGCUUAACACAUGCAAGUCGAAUGUUGCAGUAAUGCGACAUGGCAGACGGGUGAGUAACACGUGCUUAAUUUACCCCGGAGUGGGGGACAACAUCGGAAACGGUGAUAAUCCCGCAUACGUUCCAUAAAAUGAAAAUAUAUGGAAGAAAGAUUUAUCGCUCUGGGAGAAGGGCGCGGCUGACUAGUUAGUUGGUGAGGUAAUGGCUCACCAAGACGAUGAUCAGUAGCUGGUCUGAGAGGACGAACAGCCACAAUGGGACUGAGACAAGGCCCAUACCCCUACGGGGGGCAGCAGUGGGGAAUCUUGCGCAAUGGACGAAAGUCUGACGCAGCGAUCUCGCGUGAAGGAUGAAGCUUUGCGGAGUGUAAACUUCUUUUCUGGGAGAAAACAACUGAUGGUAUCUCAGGAAUAAGGGACGGCUAACUACGUG